ensembl:lncRNA
CAUCUGAAUCACGUUGUCCUCUGUCUGUGUGGCAGAUAUAAAUAGGUUGCAGCAGAGGUGGGCUGUGUCCGUGAGCACUUCUCUCCUCAGGAGAUGGUCUUAUCUACAAGCACACAGAGUAGAGAAGCCUCAGUCUUCUCGAGCAAACUUCCAAGAAAUUCCCCUUGUGAUGAGGAGUUAUCCUGCUGAUCCUGUGCUUUGGAAUCACCCUCUGACCCCUCAUCUCAGAGGCUUUACUGCUGGCAGGCACAAAGCCACAGGGCUCUCCACCCAUUCGACCCACACGGGGCUGGACAGCUGAGGAACCAGCAAAACUGCACCAGCUCAAAUUUGCUUUCAGUUUAUUGCCUGGGUAGUGUCACUAUAAAGGUCUGAGCUAAUCUUAGCUGCAUAAUGGGCUGGUAGAAAGUAUUCUAUUUGUUAUGCAAAUAAAUAUUUACUUCAAAUGUGGUUUCCCAAAGUAUGGUCACCUUGCACGCAUCUGCUUCCAAAAAUGCAUCUGCUUUACAACAAGGUAGUAAUUAUCCUUUCCUCAAGGGGGUUCAGUUUGAACCUACUAUGUGUACUAGACUGCUGGCAAAGUUUUUAAUUUUGGUUUAUGAUGUUUGUAGUUUUUGGAGGCACAGGAUCAAACGCUUGAAAUGCAAUAUUCAUCUGAUACUACAUACCAACCCCAAAUACAGAUUUCAGCGACAUGUGCAGCAGUAUCCUGGCAGUCUUGACUGAAAGAAUGAUCCUGUGUGUUUUAGCUGGAUCUCCUUUGCUACAAUCCAUAACAGAUGCCAUUGGUGUUUUUGUUACUAUCGCUACUUGAUGGCUUUCUCCAACCGCACUUCACAUUCCUGGAGCUGAAAGAUUUGUUCUCUUAGCCACCAAGAAACACUACACUCUUAUUUUGGAGUCUCCCUGCAUUCCAAGAUAGCACUGGCAACAGGGGACACGCAAGGGUCAACAGCUCCUCAUCCAGCAGCACAACCUCAUUCAUUGCAGCAAAGAGGUUUUCAGAGUUUGGGAAUGCCCUGAAGAGUUUUACCUUCUGUGUCCCAAAAUGGAUGUCAUUUGCUCUUUGUUCCUAGGCAACCCAGGGAGACACAGACAGCUGUUGUCAAAUAUUCUGCAACCAAAUUGUCCCUUCUUGGCACUGAAAAAUCUCACUGAGCUCACUGGGGGUCUUGAAUUCAUACUGGGCAUCUUUGAUUGGUUUGUUGAUUGGUAAUGGCAUCUUUGUGCCAUUGCUAGACUAAGGAAAAGCUGGCAGCAGCUUAAAGUGUGGUGUGUAAUGGCAUUUGCAAAAAAUUGUUCCUAAAACACCUUACCUCCUGUAGCAACUGUGAAAAUGAAGGUGAGAAUUUUUAGCCAUAUACACCUUCAGCUGAGUGAAAUUCUGCCCUGGAUUUUGUUUCUGUUAACCUGGUAAAUGAGAUGCACAGUUGUAAAUUAGGUCUGUACUGGGCCAUGGAUAAUAUAAACAAUACUGAGAUUAAAGUGUAAAAAGGAGAGAGCAAGGUGUUUUGGCAAGAUAUUUUCAACUCCUGCAACAUUUUUAUACUAGUACAUCUGAGAUGUGAGGUGUGAAUAGCUGACAUACCCUUGGUCUGAGGAGUUGUCACCAGCUUUCAGGCUUUUUUUUUCUCACAAGUGUCAAACUUUUGCAAAUAACCUAGGCAGCUCCUUUUCAGUCACAGCAUAUAACCCUGGUCAUAUCAGAUGGAAUGACCAUGACACAGUGACAUUUCUAUUUACCCAUUUCCACUACUAGAAAUUAAAGAUCACAUUUCCAAGUUACCUCUGACAAUAUUGUGUUAUUGCUUCCCUGCAAAGAAACGAGACAGAUAAUUUUUCUGUUCCUUUCCAGACCUGCCACUCUAUUUUAAUUUUUUUUACCAACAAAUUUUUCAUUUCCUGUUAAUUUUUAGUCUAAGAUAAAUAGUUUACUCCAGGAGAAGCAGUCUGGCAGUGAUUGUACACACCUAACAGUUUGUUGAAUAAAG